AAGGACAUCCAAUCUUCUCUUCGCCAUCGUUUGCUGUCAAGACUCUUUACACUUGAAGCAAUUAUACAUCGAUUACAAGCAUGUGCGCAUUGUUCUGCCGGAGGAAACUUUCUUGAGGGAAAUUCUUGGUGCCGUAGUUCUGGCUGAAGAAGGUCUGAUUGAGCCAGCUCUUGAAUCCAAGCCUGUAAAAAUCUAUGCGGAUAGUGAUGAAUCUCAAGAUGGCCAAACUGUCAUCCAUGAACCGAACAGCCUCCUUUGAUCUAUUUGCAAAGCAG